GACAGAGGGUGCAAACGUUGUUCGGAAUUACUGGGCGUAAAGCGCGUGUAGGCGGCUGCGCAAGUCGGAUGUGAAAUCCCGUGGCUCAACCCACGGAAGUGCACCCCGAAACUGCGUAGCUGGAGUCUCGGAGAGGAAGGUGGAAUGCUUGGUGUAGAGGGUGAAAUUCGUAGAUAUCAAGCGGAACACCGGUGGCGAAGGCGGCCUUCCUGGACGAUGGACUGACGCUGAGACGCGAAAGCGUGGGGAGCAAACAGG
rnacentral:rRNA from 1 species